AAGGUAGCGCAAUCACUUGUUUCUUAAAUGGAGACCUGUAUGAAUGGCUUCACGAGGGCUUAUCUGUCUCCUCUUCCCAGUCAAUGAAAUUGAUCUUCCCGUGCAGAAGCGGGACUAGCACAUAAGACGAGAAGACCCUAUGGAGCUUUAGGCACUAGGCAGCCCACGACACACGUCUGUUCAAACAGAACAAAACCGCGCGGCCCCUGUCCUGCUGCCUUUGGUUGGGGCGACCCCGGAGGAAAGAAUAGCCUCCAUGAGGAACGAUGAGUACUACUCUCACAAGUCA
rnacentral:rRNA from 1 species